rnacentral:rRNA from 1 species
AGUCGAACGGCAGCACGGACUUCAAGUCUGGUGGCGAGGGCGAACGGGUGAGUAAUGUAUCGGAACGUACUAGUAGCGGGGGAUAACUACGCGAAAGUUGUAGCUAAUACCGCAUACGCCUUCGGGAAAGCGGGGACCUUCGGGUCCGCAACGAUUAGUGAGCGGUCGAUCGAUUAGCUAGUUGGUAGGGUAACGGCUCACCAAGGCGACGAUCCGUAGCUGGUUUGAGAGGACGACCAGCCACACGCUGGGACCGGUGGACACGGCCCAUGACCUUCCCAUGGAGGCAGCAGUGGGGACUUGGACAAUGGGGGAAACCCUGAUCCAGCCAUCCUGUGUGCGAUAAGGCCUCGGGUUGUAAAGCACUUUUGGCAGGAAAAGAAAACGGCACGCAGAUGCCAAUACUCCUGUGCAACUGACGGUACCUGCAGAAUAAGCACCGGCUAACUACGUGCCAGCAGCUCAUGGUAAUACGUAGGGGUGCAAGUGUUAAUCGGAAUUACUGGGCGUAAAGCGUGCGCAGGCGGUUCGAAACAGUGAUAACCCAGAGCUAACUUUGAACCGAUUUUUAACUACCGAGUCAGAGGGCCGAGGGAGGUGGAAUUCCCGCGUAUAUGAAAAUGCUGUAGAUAUGCGGAGGAACACCGAUGGUGAAGGCAGCCUCCUGGGGAUAAAUGACGCCUCCUAUGCACGGAAAGCGCGUGGUGGAGCAAACAGGAUUAGAUAAUUCCUGGUAGUCCACGCUCAAACGAUGUCAACUAGCUGUUGGGGCCUUCGGGCCUGGUAGCGCAGCUAACGCGAAGUUGACCGCCUGGGGAGUACGGUCGCAAGAUUAAAACCCAAAGGAAUUGACGGGGACCCCGCACAAGCGGUGGAUGUAUGUGGAUUAAUUCGAUGCAACGCGAAAAACCUUACCUACCCUUGACAUGUCUGGGAACAUCCCGGAAGAGAUUUGGGAGUGCUCGCAAGAGAACCGGAACACAGGUGCUGCAUGGCUGUCAUUCGUGUCGUGAUGCUGGGUUAAGUCCCCGCAACGAGCGCAACCCUCUUAUUACGGUUGCUACGAAAGGGCACUCUGAUGAGAUCGCCGGUGACAAACUUUCGAGGAAGGUGGGGAUGACGUCAAGUCCUCAUGGCCCUUGCAGAAAGGGUUUCACGACGAUUGGUCUGCUACAAUGGUCGGGACAGGAGGUCGCCGAACCGCGAGGGGGGAGCCUCAAUCCUGUGAACCCGAUCAGUCCGGAUCGCAGUUCGCACCCGAUCCGCUGGUCUGACCGCUGCAUACACCGUGACCGUGCGUCGCGGUGAAUACGUUCCGGGUCUUUCGCAGGCUAUUAUCUCCGCCCGUCAAUAACUACGGGAGUGGGUUUUACCAGAAGUAGUUAGCCUAACCGUGUAAGGAGGGCGAUACCACGGUAGGAUUCAUGAUCACAGUCAAUACAGAA